CCUGGUUAGUACUUGGAUGGGAGACCUCCUGGGAAUACCGGGUGCUGUAGGCUUU
rnacentral:snRNA from 1 species